rnacentral:rRNA from 1 species
GACGAACGCUGGCGGCGUGCUUAACACAUGCAAGUCGAACGGUAAGGCCCUUCGGGGUACACGAGUGGCGAACGGGUGAGUAACACGUGGGUGAUCUGCCCUGCACUUCGGGAUAAGCCUGGGAAACUGGGUCUAAUACCGGAUAGGACUCCUGGCUUCAUGGUUGGGGGUGGAAAGCUUUUGCGGUGUGGGAUGGGCCCGCGGCCUAUCAGCUGGGUGGCGGGGUUAUGGCCCACCAAGGCGACGACGAGUAGCCGGCCUGAGCGGGUGACCGGUCACACUGGGACUGGGAUACGGCCCAGACUCCUACGGGCGGCAGCAGUGGGGAAUAUUGCACAAUGGGCGCAAGCCUGAUGCAGCGACGCCGCGUGAGGGAUGACGGCCUUCGGGUUGUAAACCUCUUUCAGCACCGACGAAGCGCAAGUGACGGUAGGUGCAGAAGAAGGACCGGCCAACUACGUGCCAGCCGCCGCGGUAA